UGCUGGCAGGGAAUGUGACGCCUGCGCGGUAUCAGUCUGAAGCUAUGUCUUGGCGCGGUUCGGUGUCUUGUGGAUGCCGCGGGUGACAUCCGCCCAUUCAGCCCACAGAACAGACGCGAGUCCGUGACCCUGCACACCUCCUCACCAGCCAAAAGAGAACUUGCCUUAACCAGAUAUGAGCCGGGCUCCACUGAGCAUGCCCAAUAGUGUCGGCCCUGCGUUAUGGCCACAUCACCCACAAGCAGAUCAGCUGUCAGGUGACAGGAAGUGAGGGCACGAUCGGCGUCCUGCAGCAGGGAGAGACCGGGCACACUGCGAGCACACCUCUGCUCCUUACUCACCACCAGUCUGUCCGCGUGCAGACCCCAACGAGAGUCCAGGUAAAAAUUCAACACUGUCAGGGAGGCGGAAGGAAGAUAACAGCGAGGGAAUACAGGAGAAAUUUUUAAGAGGAAGAGGGGAAAGAGUAUUAAGGCACCAAAAGGAGGGACGCAAGAGUGGG